CUGGCUGCUUCCAGCAGAUAUAAGGGAGGCGCCAUAGUAUGUGGGGUCUGAGGUUGGAAUGCGGAAAUAGGGCUGGACCGCCGUCUGAUGAAAUGCCACCUGGGAAACUUCAUGAAUUCGUUUCCCUACGAAACGGAGAAAACAAGCAAGGAAUGAUUAAAGUUGAGCUGAUGUCAAUGUGUGCUGGGCACCCUGGGACCCAAGUCUCAAAGUGAAACAUAUCCGAGUUCAUAUAAUCCAACCAGCUUCCAGCUUGUUUCUGCAGUGGAGAAAUCGUGCAUUUUGACACCAGCUCUUCAUUUGAUAAUCACUUCCAGAAUUCCCCUCAUCAAAGACGCAGAAGGUAACAAGCCUUCCUCCUUGAGGCCUUCUUAGACUGUUCCAGACACUCCAACUUACCCAACUGAUGUCAUCCAUGAGUACAAAACACACGUACCCACCAUCUGCCUUAACGAAAGGGGCAAAGGCUUUGACACAGUGUCUUCACUUGGGGACACACCAAUAUCCCCUGGUCAUCUUCUACAUUUCUGGCCAUCCCUUCUCAGCCUCCUUGGCCAGUUCUUCCUAGAGGAGUGUCCCCACUUUCACAGUUAAGUACCAUCUCUGUGCCAAUGACGUACAAUUUUUUUCUGUUUACACCUUGGGUCUUUUUCCUGAAUUCCAAACCUGUACCUACCACUUACCUAAUUUUGAUGCUUCGUGAUCUGUCUCACUGCACUGAACUGGCUUCAUUACAAGAAGAAUGACUUUGGUUACUUCUCUAUUAUCAGGGCCUAAAAUAAUGUCCAGCACAUGAGAGGAACUUCUACAUCACUGGGGCGGAGGGGGGCGGUGAAUGAAGAGUGAAAAGUCAUGACUGAUCAGUGUUCUCAUGGAGACUUCACUGUCUCAGCCCAUGAACCUCAAAUUCUCAGAUGACCCCAAAGAGCACAAAGGACAGGCAGCAAGUUGACCCCAAAAUGCUCAUAGUUCAACAGCUAAUAUAGUGAUAGAUGCAGCACACAGAAAGUGUCCUGGAGCAGAUGCCUGGAAUCUAAUGAUCAGAACCGAAUAACGACUGGGCCACUCGGGAAGGAGGUUUGUCAGUCUGGCACACAGUGAAGGAAGAGGAUCAGAGGGCGGCUCUGUCACUGCCCAACCAAGAACCGUCUGGGGCUCAGGUCUGGACACCUUCCCUGCAGUUUCUGAGUCGGGAUAUGAGGGUGGCCUCAUUGAGCUGUGGUUCAUAAAGGGAUGCCCUGGUGAGUCCUGGUGAAAGGACCGCCCCUUUUGAGAUGAAUGUCUUUAUAUAGGCCAAGUCAGUCUCCCUGGCUAGUUAGCUACAAUCAUCUUUUUGCCUGGGGCUUUGGAACUUUGGAUCAUUUUGCACUUUCUCCUUGUACAUUCUUGGAGAAGAGGUUCAAAUUCUCUCAGGAUACUGAUGGUUUAAUUAGAUUCUCAGGCUUAAAACACCAUGAUCCUAAAUAAAUAGUAAAGAAAGAAAGGAAAGGAAAGGAAGGAAAGUGUAGGAAGGAAGAAAGAAAAGGGAGGGAAGGAAGGAAGGGGAGGGGGGGAGGGGGGGAAGGAGGGAGGGAGGAAAGAAGGAAGGAAGGGGAGGGAGGAAGGAAGGAGGCAGGUGGUAGGUGGGCAGGCAGGCGUGAAGCAUCACAGUCUGUAAAACUGUAGCUACAGCGCCACCUGCUGUUAGGCAUGAAACACUGGCAGGUGAACCACAUCGCUGUGAAAACCUAAAAUGUUCCUACAUAUGCCAGGAAACUACCAGAAGCAGUGAAGGCACUGGAAACUCGGAUGUUGCUGAGAAAACAGGGCAUGAGUGAAGAAAACCCAUCUCAAGCAAACAAUCCUCGACUUCACCCUUUGAAGACUAAUUGUUAGAGACGGAUGUAAACAAAAGAUUCUCUUUUGAGAGAUACACACAAGAUAUUAAGCGCGACCACUUCCUACGCCGUACUUCUGUCUUGCUAGCUGCUGGGUUUUGCUAAGCCUUGACUUUUAACAAGCACUACUACAAGUGAGCAGUUAC